GAUGAACGCUGGCGGCGUGCCUAAUACAUGCAAGUCGAGCGAACAGACGAGGAGCUUGCUCCUCUGACGUUAGCGGCGGACGGGUGAGUAACACGUGGAUAACCUACCUAUAAGACUGGGAUAACUUCGGGAAACCGGAGCUAAUACCGGAUAAUAUAUUGAACCGCAUGGUUCAAUAGUGAAAGACGGUUUUGCUGUCACUUAUAGAUGGAUCCGCGCCGCAUUAGCUAGUUGGUAAGGUAACGGCUUACCAAGGCAACGAUGCGUAGCCGACCUGAGAGGGUGAUCGGCCACACUGGAACUGAGACACGGCCCAGACUCCUACGGGAGGCAGCAGUAGGGAAUCUUCCGCAAUGGGCGAAAGCCUGACGGAGCAACGCCGCGUGAGUGAUGAAGGUCUUCGGAUCGUAAAACUCUGUUAUUAGGGAAGAACAAAUGUGUAAGUAACGAUGCACGUCUUGACGGUACCUAAUCAGAAAGCCACGGCUAACUACGU
rnacentral:rRNA from 1 species